AUGGCGCCGCACAUCAUCACCUUCACAACUCCGACAAUCUCAAUUCUCUCAGCCACCGCCAUUGUCUUUCUGAUUCACUCUGCCAUCCUCUUCUCCAUUGCAUUUGAUGCUUCAACAUCUUCUCCGUCUUAUCUUCCCUCUCAAUCAAACUCUCUUCUAAUUCUUUCGUUUCAGAUUUUGUCGCACUUGAAUCGCUAG